CCCAAUCCAAUCCCCCAUUUCUCUCUUUCUCCCCUUCCCCAUGGCUUUUCAGUUUCUUCUUCUUCUUUCUAAACAUUUUUGUCCCUCUAUUGAUUUUUACGAGAUAUUGAUUUGAAACAAUAUAGCAAAUCCUGGAGUGAGCCACAACAAAUCUGAAUAAAAAAGAUAGUAAAUCUCAAAGCUAAGGAGGAAGAGUGGGGGAGUAAUCCUUACAAUGAUAAUUGAUAAAGCUCCCCACCAUGAAUGAACAAAAAAGAAAAUGGAAAACCUCAACUUCCGACUCCUCUUUUUCCACUUCUUAAUUUUAUUUUAUUUUUGCUUUAGUUUCUAAUUUGAUGUCCUUUGUUUAGUUUUUUCUUCCC
rnacentral:lncRNA from 1 species